GUUCUUCGUCUGAUUCAUCUGACGGUGUAGCUCAUGCGAUCAUGGAGGAGAUAGAGUUGCAGAAACAACUGCUUGCUCACAUCUAUGGCCAGCCGGCGCCGGAGGCGGGACGUGUGAAACGUCACCGAUCUUACGUCCACCGUGAUAGAGAGGAAGCCCACCUACGUCUUAUGCAAGACUACUUCAAAGACAAUCCGACGUACGGACCUACAUUUUUCCGGCGGCGUUUUCGAAUGCAGAA
rnacentral:lncRNA from 1 species